AGCUCCAAUAGCGUAUAUUAAAGUUGUUGCGGUUAAAAAGCUCGUAGUUGGAUUUUUGAGUGUGAACGAUUGGUCCAGUUUAUCUGCGCACUGAUGGUUCUGCUCUUCUGUCUGGAGACUGGUGGCUGUCGCUUAAUUGAGGCACUGCGAGGAUCUAGGACUUUUACUUUGAACAAAUUAGAGUGUUUAAAGCAGGCCUACGCCUUGAAUACAUUAGCAUGGAAUAACGUAUAGGACUUUGGUUCUAUUUUGUUGGUUUUAAGGACCAAAGUAAUGAUUAAUAGGGACAGUUGGGGGCAUUAAUAUUUAAUUGUCAGAGGUGAAAUUCUUAGAUUUAUGAAAGAUUAACUUCUGCGAAAGCAUUUGCCAAGGAUGUUUUCAUUAAUCAAGAACGAAAGUA
rnacentral:rRNA from 1 species